UGAACAUGGUUUGUUAAGGGGCUUCACU
rnacentral:sRNA from 1 species